rnacentral:rRNA from 1 species
UACGUAGGGUGCGAGCGUUACUCGGAAUUACUGGGCGUAAAGCGUGCGCAGGCGGUUUGUUAAGCCAGAUGUGAGAGCCCCGGGCUCAACCUGGGAACUGCGUUUGGUACUGGCAAGCUAGAGUACGGCAGAGGGGGGUGGAAUUCCACGUGUAGCAGUGAAAUGCGUAGAGAUGUGGAGGAACACCGAUGGCGAAGGCAGCCCCCUGGGCCGAUACUGACGCUCAGGCACGAAAGCGUGGGGAGCAAACAGG